ACUCCUACGGGAGGCAGCAGUAGGGAAUAUUGCAAAAUGGGCGCAAGCCCGAUGCAGCAACGCCGCGUGGGCGAUGAAGGCCUUCGGGUCGUAAAGCCCUUUUUGAGGGGAUGAGGAAGGACAGUACCCUCAGAAUAAGCCUCGGCUAACUACGUGCCAGCAGCCGCGGUAAU
rnacentral:rRNA from 1 species